AUGGCUCAGGAUGAACGCUAGCUACAGGCUUAACACAUGCAAGUCGAGGGGCAGCAUGGAGUGCUUGCAAUUCCUGAUGGCGACCGGCGCACGGGUGAGUAACGCGUAUCCAACCUUCCCCUCAGUAGGGCAUAGCCCGUAGAAAUGCGGAUUAAUACCCUAUGUGGUCCGAUGAGGACAUCUGAGCUGGACGAAAGGUUUACCGCUGAGGGAUGGGGAUGCGUCUGAUUGGGUAGUCGGCGGGGUAACGGCCCACCGAGCCAUCGAUCAGUAGGGGUUCUGAGAGGAAGGUCCCCCACACUGGUACUGAGACACGGACCAGACUCCUACGGGAGGCAGCAGUGAGGAAUAUUGGUCAAUGGGCGAGAGCCUGAACCAGUCAAGUAGCGUGCAGGAUGACGGCCCUACGGGUUGUAAACUGCUUUUAUGCGGGGAUAAAGUGAGGGACUUGUCCCUUUUUGCAGGUACCGCAUGAAUAAGGACCGGCUAAUUCCGUGCCAGCCGCCGC
rnacentral:rRNA from 1 species